CUCAAUCUCCAAAGCUUCUGAGAAGUUCCAGAUCCUAACAACACCUUCUUCUCCAGCACACACAAUACGAUCAGGACCAACAUCCACAGCAAACAGAUUGCUCCCGAAUCCAUGUAGCAUUCUUUGAGGUGGCUCUACAUUUUUAACGCAAUUGUCAACCUUCCAAGUCUUCUCCAUCACAUAACUAUGCCUUGUCCUCAACAGCUUUCUCACAUCAAUAAGUGAUAGUUUUCCAUCACUAGAAGCUGAAACAAGCCAAGGGAAAGAUUGCACCCAAAUCCAUGUAGCAUUCUUUGAGGCGGCUCUACAUUUUUAACGCAAUUGUCAACCUUCCAAGUCCUCUCCAUCACACAACUCUGCUUUGUCCUCAACAGCUUUCUUACAUCAAUAAGUGAUAGUUUUCCAUCACUAGAAGCUGAAACAAGCCAAGGGAACUCAAAAGAA
rnacentral:lncRNA from 1 species